rnacentral:lncRNA from 1 species
GUUUCUAGCUCAUCCUCCCCAAAACUGCAUGUUUUAUCCCAGUGGUUCUUAAUUCUCAACAUCCAUAGUCCUGCGCAGAAUCUUAAAGUUUGGUUAAGUGAAACAGAUUUUAGAAUUUAGUGUAUAUCUCAAAGGUCAGAAUUAAGAAAUUGCCAUGUUUCUUCAGGUGGUUUAUGAAAUACCAGCAUGUAGACCCAGAAGAAGCUGUAAGGAUUCACACUGAUGUCCAAACAAAGAAAUCUAUGGCAAUUCACUGGGGAACUUUUGCCUUAGCAAAUGAGCAUUACUUAGAGCCUCCAGUGAAGCUGAAUGAAGCUCUAGAGAGAUACGGACUUAACGCUGAAGAUUUUUUUGUCUUGAAGCAUGGAGAAUCAAGAUACCUAAAUAAUGAUGAUGAAAACUUUUAAUAAAUGUGAGCACAGGCACUUUUAAUGAAAAAGGCAUCAUCUAAGUUUAAAAACAAAUGAAAAGACUUAGAAAUUCAUGAAUAUUGUGAUUAUUUUACAUUUGGAAACAACUUCUGCAAGUUUAUGUUUUAUGUUUUGUGUAAUAACUUGCUUCCUAGUAUGAUCAGCUCAUGUACACUAUGAGAGGGUUCAGGGGUGGGUCAUUUAAAUAAUGAAUUGGCUAAUGUGGAUUUUAAAUUUCAUAUCAUGAUAUAAGCACUGCAAUGGAAAUGUUUUUACUAAAACAUUAUAUUUUUGUGGUACUAGAAUUUCCUGAGGUGAAAAACCGAUAUUGAAGAUUCAUUUUUCUUUUUUCCAUUCUUCAGGACCUUCGGCAAGGUGAGUCAAGGCUCUCUACCUACCUAGAUGUUUUUCAGAGGCCUACAAAUACAAGUAUCUUUCUUAUAUGCACAUUCUAAUAAAUGAUGAAAUUCAGUCCAACAUGCUUAUUAUAAACAUAGCAAUUCUUGCUCUAUCAAAUUAGCUUAUAUGCCAAAUAUUAAAUAUGGUUUAUUUAGGUAAGCAUAAAAACAUAGGGGCUAUCAUUUUUAAAGACUUGAUUUUCUCUAUUGUGGUAAAAUAUAUAAAUACAUAUUUGCCAUUUUAAACAUUUACCAUUUUAACCAUUUUUAAGUGUACAGUUCUUUCGCAUUAAUGCACCCAUGACCACCAUUCACUUAAAUUUUUAAAAGAACAGUAUAUUCUUUUUUUCCUAGAGCCUUCAGAUGAGAGGGAACAGUAUAUUCUAUUGCACGUCUACAAUUCCCAAAAGACCUCUUACUUUGGGAGGCCAAGGUGGGUGGGUCACUUGAACCCAGGAGUUUGACAUCAACCUGGGCAACAUGGUGACCUCCCGUCUCUCUCGGAAAAAAAAAAAGAAAAAAGAAAAAGCCGGGUGAGGUGGUGUGUACCUGUAGUCACAGGUACUUGGGAGGCUGAGGUGGGAGGAUCACUUGAGCCCAGGAGAUAGAGGCUGCAGUGAGCUGUGAUCGUACCACUGCACUCCAGCCUGGGCGACAAAAUGAGACCCUGUCUCAAAAGAAAGCCCUCUCCUUAGCUGAGCAGAGGAAGGGAAGGAGUGUGGCUAUGAGAAUAUGAUUUAUGCCAUUUUCUGUUUUUAAAUCUAGAAGAUCUUCUAAGCACAAAUACAGCUACAAUGAAAUAUUUUACAGACAAAAUGUUAAUAGACCAUAUUCUUUGAAUUAAAUUUGUUUUUAAUUUUCUCUACACAUUUUUUUUUUCCUGGAGUCUCUUAGCUCUAAAUAUAUCAAUCAGAUUUAUAAUUUUUUUUACCUGAUUCAGAUGUCUUACAUUUUUAUAUUAAAUGAACCUUAAGCAUGAUUCUUUUGGUAAGCCAGUAUGAAUGCCAGUGGUUGGGGGGCGGGGGGGGAGUCAGUUGACAUAAGAUUUAGUCCUAAUAAGGACUCUGUAUUCACUUGAUUAUUCUGACCCUUCCUAAGGGAGGGAGGUGGAUUAGAUACCACUGGAGGCCCAUUCUGUAUUCCUAAUCCAGUCUCAGCACUUUAUUCAUACAAAAUAAUCAAAAUAGGUUUUCUACACCAAAUGCUACCCAGGCAGUGCUCUAUAAUUUAUUUGCACACCUGUAUGUGUGGUGCCACGUUAGCCACUAAAUCUGAACUUUUACCCUGCUUUCAUCAUGGAUUUUUUUGUGUAACCUGAAACAAGUCACCAGUGCUCACUGUGCCUGUUUCCUCAUUUGCAACAAGAGGAUAAUUCCGACCUACCUCUGAAAAAUGUGUAGAUUAAAUGAGUUUUUAAAGCACUUUAGAAAAUAUAAGGGAGAAAAUGAUUUCUUAAGAUAUCACUGCCUAAUAUAGACAGGUAUAUUUGAAAGCUAAAUACAGGUUAAUGCUUUUGAUAAUGUAUUGUUCCUGUUGCAAAUUUAAGCAUUAUAUAUUAGGAGACUAAACAUUGAAAACUUUCACUGAUUUUUAAAUUGGAGUAAUAGCCUAAAUAAGUGUAAAUAAUCUUUAUCAAAAUUUAGUGUUUAUCUACAAAGAUGCGAAUCAGUCAAGGGGAAAUGUGUAUGCAAUGUGUGUGUAUAUGAUGUAUGCGAACAUAUGUGAUUUUGGGGUACUAAAGCACAAAAAAAUCCCCCAUAAAAUAAACCUUCCUGAAAAGACUGAUCAUAAACUUUUUCACUCCAAGCAGAUGUGAAUCAAGAUGUUAGGUUUAUGGUGAGUUAGCUUUGAGGUGUGUUGCCCUAAUACUAGCCAGCGUUGUUGUAGCCAUAUUCCCUGCUGCUGCACGCCGAAUUGAAAAUCCAUCUCUUACCUCUUCUCUAUGAAGCAAGCCAGGUAUGUCUUGCUUAAGUAUUUCUUCUCCAUGAAUGGCCUUAACAUUAUUUUGUAUUCACGUGUACUGUUUAACUGAGGGUCUCAAAGCACUUUAAACUGUUGUGUUCUAUUUCCACUCGUCUGGCCUGCCUCAUUUUUCUAGGCCCUUUUGUAAGCUGUAAUUUUUUAUUACCACUCAUGUUCUUUCUACACUGACACUAUUCAUUAAGAACAUCAAGCUUCAUCUCUGCUUACAGAAUCUCACCUUAUUGAGUGGGUUCCACUUUAUUUUUCAUUUGUUAUCUACAUUUUGAAGGGUUUAUGUGCAAAGUGAAAACAAAUUUUGAAAAAUAAGACAAAUCCAUUCUCUUCUUCAAUUCAGUCUAAUAUGCAUUGUAGUGUCUUUUAAUCAGUCUUAUCCUCUAAGUCAACUUCAUUUUCCUCUUCGUGAAUACCCAUAGCAAUAUGUAAGAUUUUAUUGAAGUUUCCUGUGAUAACUGAGGAAUACUUUGCUAUGCCUCACUGCCCAAUAGGGUGGGUCAUCAAUUAGGAGAAAUCCCAAAUUAUAAAAGCCAACAUAUGCCGUGACCUACGUAGGAAAAGAUGUAUUUGUGCAUCUUCUUUCUGGGUAGUUAAAAAUUACUCCCUCUUUUCUCUAGCAUUUUGACAUUUCAGACUCAAUGCUCUGAUCUCUAGGGAGUGUGAUUAUUCAAACUAAUGAGAGGACAAGAAGACACAGUUUUAGAAUCUACUGCUGCUAAAGCACAUUAAAAACAAAUCCUGGUUUUUAAUGUAUGCAUAGUUUCAUAUUUAAUGAAUAUGCUUUCAUUAAAUAGGGAGGUAGAUUUGAAAAAACCGUUAUAAAGAAAUGUGCCUUUUGGGGAAUGAAUACUUUUGUUCAUGUCUAGCCCACUGGGAAUUUUGUUUUCACCUUAUACUGAGUCCUUUUUCUAAUGUAAAAAUAUUUCUUCCAAGUUUGAUUUCUGUAUCAGGGUAACAUUGAGAACACACAUAUUUCUGUUUGAGGAUUUGUGACUUCCUAUGGAAACAGUCUUGCAUCUAUGUAUUUACAAAUGAAAUUUAAAGUAUUCUUAAAGCUUUGCCUUAAAUACUGCUUGCAUACUGAUUUACUUAAUGCUAAGCAUGGCAGGGGUUAUAAAUUUAAAUACUAUAAGACCUGGCUGAAUCCCAGAUGUAUCAAUAAAUUGUUAUAGUAGCUUAUGGAAAAUGCUAUUAAAGAUAAAUUUUCAUACAUUGUAUUUUUAGUCAAGUAAAAUAUGGAUGAAAAUUAAUAAAGUACUGUCAAGGGAAAAAAUA